AACGAACGCUGGCGGCAUGCCUAACACAUGCAAGUCGAACGAGACCUUCGGGUCUAGUGGCGCACGGGUGCGUAACGCGUGGGAACCUGCCCUUAGGUUCGGAAUAACUCCCCGAAAGGGGUGCUAAUACCGGAUAAUGUCUUCGGACCAAAGAUUUAUCGCUUGUGGAUGGGCCCGCGUCGGAUUAGCUUGUUGGUAGGGUAAAGGCCUACCAAGGCGACGAUCGAUAGCUGGUCUGAGAGGAUGAUCAGGCACACUGGGACUGAGACACGGCCCAGACCCAGACGGGAGGGGGCGGUGGGGGAGAGGGAAAGAGGGGCGGGGGCGAAAGGCAGCAACGCCGAGGGCGGGAUGGUGGCCAACGGGUUGGGGUUGGAAAGCUCUUUUGCCGGGGAGUGAAUGACGGUAACGGGGAAAAAAGCCCCGGCUAACUACGUG
rnacentral:rRNA from 1 species